GACGAACGCUGGCGGCGUGCCUAAUACAUGCAAGUCGAACGCAGUGGGGACGGGUGCGUAACCCGUGGGUAACCUCCCAUCAGAGGGGAUAACACUUGGAAACAGGUGCUAAACCGCUACUGAUGGAUGGACCCGCGGUGCAUUAGCUAGUUGGUGAGGUAACGGCUCACCAAGGCCACGAUGCAUAGGCGACCUGAGAGGGGUGUCGGCCACACGGGGACUGUGUCACGGCCCAGACUCCUACGGGAGGCAGCAGUAGGGAAUCUGCGGCAAUGGACGAAAGUCUGACCGAGCAACGGCGCGUUAGUGAAGAAGGUUUUCGGAUCGUAAAACUCUGUUGUGAGAGAAGCGGUGUCUAACCAGAGAGCCACGGGUAACUACGGGCCAGCAGGCGCGGUAAUAC
rnacentral:rRNA from 1 species